UACGGAGGGGGCGAGCGUUAUUCGGAAUUAUUGGGCGUAAAGGGCGCGUAGGCGGCCUGAUAAGUCAAAGGUGAAAUCCCUCGGCUCAACUGAGGAAUUGCCUUUGAAACUGUCAGGCUUGAGGCCGGGAGGGGGUGGCGGAAUUCCCAGUGUAGCGGUGAAAUGCGUAGAUAUUGGGAGGAACACCAGUGGCGAAGGCGGCCACCUGGACCGGUUCUGACGCUGAGGCGCGAAAGCGUGGGGAGCAAACGGG
rnacentral:rRNA from 1 species